rnacentral:rRNA from 1 species
UACGGAGGGUGCAAGCGUUAUCCGGAUUCACUGGGUUUAAAGGGUGCGUAGGUGGGAAUGUAAGUCAGUGGUGAAAUCUCCGUGCUUAACAUGGAAACUGCCAUUGAUACUAUGUUUCUUGAAUUUUCUGGAGGUAAGCGGAAUAUGUCAUGUAGCGGUGAAAUGCUUAGAUAUGACAUAGAACACCAAUUGCGAAGGCAGCUUGGUACAGGGAUAUUGACACUGAGGCACGAAAGCGUGGGGAGCAAACAGG